UGGGGAAUAUUGCACAAUGGGCGAAAGCCUGAUGCAGCAACGCCGCGUGAGUGAUGAAGGCCUUCGGGUUGUAAAGCUCUGUCUUCUGGGACGAUAAUGACGGUACCAGAGGAGGAAGCCAAGGCUAACUACGUGCCAGCAGCCGCGGUCAUACGUAGGUGGCAAGCGUUGUCCGGAUUUACUGGGAGUAAAGGAUGCGUAGGCGGAUACUUAAGUCAGAUGUGAAAAUCCCGGGCUUAACUUGGGAACUGCAUUUGAAACUGGGUAUCUAGAGUGCGGGAGAGGAAAGUGGAAUUCCUAGUGUAGCGGUGAAAUGCGUAGAGAUUAGGAAGAACACCAGUGGCGAAGGCGACUUUCUGGACCGUAACUGACGCUGAGGCAUGAAAGCGUGGGGAGCAAACA
rnacentral:rRNA from 1 species